UACGAAGGGGGCUAGCGUUGCUCGGAAUUACUGGGCGUAAAGGGCGCGUAGGCGGAUAUUUAAGUCGGGGGUGAAAGCCCGGGGCUCAACCUCGGAAUUGCUUUCGAUACUGGAUAUCUUGAGUUCGGGAGAGGUGAGUGGAAUGCCGAGUGUAGAGGUGAAAUUCGUAGAUAUUCGGCGGAACACCAGUGGCGAAGGCGACUCACUGGCCCGAUACUGACGCUGAGACGCGAAAGCGUGGGGAGCAAACAGG
rnacentral:rRNA from 1 species